UCAUUUAUUUAAAAUUUAUACAAUAUACAUAAAAUAUUCAGAGAUUCAAUCCAGGAAAGCAUAGGAGCCCGCUGUACCCCCCAGGGUGACCUUUAAAGGGCCAGUGCCCCUUCGGUGCUCCCAUAGCAUUGUGCAGGUUUCGAUAUUUGGCAGGUUACAGCUGACAUGCGGAAGCAUAGCUGAAGCAAAACCGUCCUAAAAUUCUGUAUACACAAAAUAUAUCCGAGAUUAAAUUCUAAACUGCUAAAAAUCCACAAUCAACCAGAUGCUCCAGGAGGACAUGUGCCGGGCUCGGCUGCCACGAGCGCCAAUACCGGCUCUUCCUGCAGACACCUCGAGAAGGCCAGCAGAUUCAUGCAGUUCUAUGUACAAAAAAAAAAGUCUUCACUGCUGUAACAAGGAUGACGGGGGACUUCACAACCCACUUCUCUUCCGCGGGGGCCGGCCCGUAGAAAAGAGGGAGGAGUCAGCAGAUAAACUUCCACCAAUUCAGA